UACGUAGGGUGCGAGCGUUGUCCGGAAUUACUGGGCGUAAAGAGCUCGUAGGUGGUUUGUCGCGUUGUUCGUGAAAACCGGGGGCUUAACCCUCGGCGUGCGGGCGAUACGGGCAGACUUGAGUACUGCAGGGGAGACUGGAAUUCCUGGUGUAGCGGUGGAAUGCGCAGAUAUCAGGAGGAACACCGGUGGCGAAGGCGGGUCUCUGGGCAGUAACUGACACUCACAGGACGAAAGCUAGGGGAGCGAAUGGG
rnacentral:rRNA from 1 species